rnacentral:rRNA from 1 species
UACGAAGGGUGCAAACGUUGCUCGGAAUCAUUGGGCGUAAAGCGCACGUAGGCGGCCUUGCAAGUCGGAUGUGAAAUCCCACGGCUCAACCGUGGACGUGCAUCCGAAACUGCUCGGCUCGAGUAUGGAAGAGGGUCGCGGAAUUCCCGGUGUAGAGGUGAAAUUCGUAGAUAUCGGGAGGAACACCAGUGGCGAAGGCGGCGACCUGGGCCAAUACUGACGCUGAGGUGCGAAAGCGUGGGGAGCA